rnacentral:tRNA from 1 species
GGGGAUGUGGUUUAGUGGUAUAAUACCUCUUUAGCAGUUGGGCGUCCUUCAGGAUGUUCAAUAACCUAGAGGUGGUCCGGGGUUCGAUUCCCCGCGUCUCCA